UACUUCAGCCAUAUCACCAUUUAACCAGUUACUCACUGAUGCUAAGCAGGGCUGAGCCUGGUUAGUAUCUGGAUGGGAGACCACAUGGGAACACUAGAUUGCCGUUGGAA
rnacentral:rRNA from 1 species